rnacentral:rRNA from 1 species
UGUCUUUUUGAAAAUAAUAUAAAGUCUAAUCUGCCCACUGAUUUUAUAUUAAAGGGCUGCAGUAUAUUGACUGUACAAAGGUAGCAUAAUCAUUAGUCAUUUAAUUGAUGACUUGUAUGAAGGAUUGGAUGAAAUAUAAACUGUCUCUUAAUUAUAUUUAGAAUUUAAUUUUUUAAUUAAAAAGUUAAAAUAAAUUAGAAAGACGAGAAGACCCUGUAGAGUUUUAUAAAUAAAAUUAAUUGAGAUUAUAUGUAAAAGUUAAAAUUAAGAUUAAUUUAUUUAUUUUGUUGGGGUGACAGAAAAAUAUAAAAAACUUUUUAUAUAUUUAAAACGUUGAUAAGUGGUUAAAUGAUCCAAUAUUAUUGAUUAUAAGAAAAAAUUACCUUAGGGAUAACAGCGUAAUUUUUUUUUUUAGUUCGUAUAAAAAAAAAAGUUUGCGACCUCGAUGUUGGAUUAAGAUAAAAUUUAAAUGCAGAAG